CAACGUGCAAGGCCGAUCUAGAAUCCGACGAAACAUCCUGGAGUAUGACUAGAAAUGGGCAGAAAGAGAUAGAGUCUGAGAAGAGGGCAGAGCACCCGAGGGCUUGGAGGACCAUUUGAUGAACUUGUGCCCUUAGGGAAAGUACCCAGCAGGAAGGAGGGAGUUGGGGACGUGGCAAAACCAGAGCCCUGGAAGGGAAGGGCCCAAAGGAGCAGGGCAGCAUCAGCGUCCCCUCCUCCUCCUGCCCCUCUCCCUCCCCCUCCCCAGCUUGGCAGGUGCCACCUGGGAGCCGGAGAGUGAUCGCGAGCCCGCUAGUUGGGAGCAGUGGGGGACGAUUCUCACCCCGACUCACACGGAGGCUGGAGACGGAGAGGUUUAAUUGGUAUCUCAUUAACCAUGCAAAUUAAUCUGAGGAAGAUUGCCAUUUUUGCCAUGCCCAUCUGACUGAUGUAUGAGCACCAAAUGUUGGAACAGUGGUUUCCCUAAGCCUUCUCAGCUGGUUAUUCCUCACUGCCCUGUUCUGCCUCAGGUCUUGGCCUUUCCCCAACCACAUCUAAGAAGGACGUUGCAAUCAUCUGUUUGGAAGCAUUUCUGAGCCAGUCAGAUGUCAUCCUAGAGAUUUUCUCCAGACCAGCGGAAAGCCUAUAUGUCAUUGAUGGAUAACAUUGGUAUUAUAGAGGGAAAGAAAAAAAAGAUCGUAUUUGUACCAAUGGAGGAUGAGAGUGGGCCUAGAGAAGGUGUGGAAAUAGAACUAGAAAUGGAUGGCAGAAAUGGAAGCACUCCCUCAGAACAUCCCUGAUGAUCCCCUAUAAAGUCCCGCCCACCCAUCUAUCCACUUCUCCCCCCACCAUUGGAUAAUGACAAAAUUCCCUCUGAAGGAGUCCUACUCAGCUGCUCCCACAAAUCUCCAUCCCUUCAUUGUUCUAUCAGCUGGAGCUCUAUGGGUAUAGUAUUACUAGAACAGCCUGGUCCUCCUACCUUCUUGAUGUUGGUGUUUCCACUGCCUCUCCCAGGCUUCCUCACAAGCCUGGGACCCUUCUAGGGUUUGAGGUGAGACGAGAGCCAAUCAGGGAGGAGGACAGUUCAUCCCUCCCUGAGUCUGAGAGGUGAGUAGCACUGAGCUCGGGGUAGGGUCAUCCUGAUUAGACCUAGCUGUGGGUAGAGGGGCCCUGGCUAGACUUUUAGCACAAGGUAUAAGGCAAAAGUUUUACACUGGCUCUGGCCCAGGAAGAGGGGUGAGAAGCAAGAUUGAAGAUACUUCCAGAGGAGAGACUUGCUUUCUUUGGGGAACUUCUAUGACUGUUGCUUGAUAGGGUACCAGCAUCAUGUCCUGACAUUCUUUCCUUGUCUCCUUGUUUCACUUGGCUGCUUCUAGAGUUCUAUCCAAAGAAACUCCUUUUCCUCAAAGCUGUUUCCAGGCCUGGCCUUCAUCUCCUUUCCUGGAUACCCUCUUCUUUUCCUACUUAAAUUCUUCUAAUCUUCAAGACAAGUUCAAGACUUAUUCCUUCUAAGAAGCUUUUUCUGACUGCACCAGCCUACAGUGAUCUCACCUUGCUUUCUGAAAUCUAAUAUUUAUUUAAUCCACAUUUAUUGAGGACCCAUUAUGCUCAAGGGACUGUGUUGGAUGCUGUGGCAGGCACAAGAGUAAUACAAUAUGGUCUCUGCCUUUAUGGACCUUAUAGAUCUGGGAUAAAACAUGUGCACAAAUAUAAUACAAUGUAUCAUGUGAUAAUUAAUUGAGAGAUAUACAAGGUGCUAUGAAAAGCAGGAUCAUCUGUCAUGUAGUAGUGAGUCAUUUGGACAGUCAUCAAUCUUUCAGGUGCUUACUAUGUACCAGACACCAGGCUAAGUGCCGGGGAUACAAAGAAAGGUCAAAAAAAAAUAGUUACUACCUUUGGGGAAUGUACAUUCUCAUGGGGGAGACAACAUGUAAAUAGAUAGGUAUGCACAUGAUCUAUGUAGAAUAGAUGAAAUGUAAUCUGAAGAGGGAAGGCAUUAGCAGCUAGGAGGAAUGGGAAAGGGCUCCUGCAGCAGGUGGACUUUGGGCUAAGGCUUAAAGCCUGGGAAACUAAGAGCUGGAGGUGGGGAUGGGGGUGGGGCAGAGCAUUCCAGGCAUGUGGGAGAGCCAGUGGAAAGUCACGGAGACAUGUCUGGAUCAUAGAGUGCAUGGAGGGGAGGAAGGUAGAAAGAGGACUAAAAAGAUAAAGAAAGAGGGUACAUGACCCUAGUACCUACAGCAAUGGCUUAUGGUGUAAUCAUAAGAAAAGCGAACCUCAUACUGUAAGUUGUGAUUAUUACAAUAUUAGUGUUUAUCUUUGUAUACAUACAUUAUAUCACCUCUCUAUAAGUUCCUUGCAGGGGUGGGGGACCUGUGAC